rnacentral:rRNA from 1 species
AGUGAACGCUGGCGGUAGGCCUAACACAUGCAAGUCGAACGGCAGCACAGUAAGAGCUUGCUCUUACGGGUGGCGAGUGGCGGACGGGUGAGGAAUACAUCGGAAUCUACUUUUUCGUGGGGGAUAACGUAGGGAAACUUACGCUAAUACCGCAUACGACCUACGGGUGAAAGCAGGGGAUCUUCGGACCUUGCGCGAUUGAAUGAGCCGAUGUCGGAUUAGCUAGUUGGCGGGGUAAAGGCCCACCAAGGCGACGAUCCGUAGCUGGUCUGAGAGGAUGAUCAGCCACACUGGAACUGAGACACGGUCCAGACUCCCACGGGAGGCAGCAGUGGGGAAUAUUGGACAAUGGGCGCAAGCCUGAUCCAGCCAUACCGCGUGGGUGAAGAGGGCCUUCGGGUUGUAAAGCCCUUUUGUUGGGAAAGAAAAGCAGCAGGUUAAUACCCCGCUGUUCUGACGGUACCCAAAGAAUAAGCACCGGCUAACUUCGUG